rnacentral:rRNA from 1 species
AGAGCUGUGGCACCACCUGAUCCCAUUCCGAACUCAGAAGUGAAACACAGUAUCGCCGAUGGUAGUUUGGGGUCUCCCCAUGCGAGAGUAGGUCAUUUCCAGGC